GACCUGUGUGACAUUCUCCACCCCGCUGAGCAGCCAGAUUGAGGUGACAAUCCCAAAGUCUCCAGAGUCAAGCACAGAACCCAGGAGUCCUGGCUCCCAGGCCCCACUGCGCCUCUGGGAAUGAUCCAGGAUGGGGCAACUCCAGACUCUGCCUCAACACUGGAGAGCAGAGCCGAGACACCAGGACCUGCCGCAUCAGUGGAGGGGAGCAGACCUGAGGCUCCAGAGACAUCUCCCAACAAAGUUCCUGCAGAUACGGUCCAGAUACGGGAAACAGGAGCUGGGUCUCCAUGGCCCAUUCCAUCCCUGACCACGGGCUGACUCGGCCGAUGAGGAAGUCAGUCAGGGCCCUCCACAUUCCCCUGGUUCUUCCAUCCAGCGUCUCCAUCUCCAUACACCCGCUGCGCCCGAGCGCCUGCCCAUCCCCUGUGUAUUGUCCACCUGUGAAGGAUGUGGAAGGGAGAAGAGCCGUGAAGACGGUCCUGUCCUAGCUGAGAAUCAUGAACUUCAGAAACACGAACCUCAGGCUGAGGGAUCUCUUGGAAAUCAGUCCAGACAGCGUGAAGGACUCGACUCCUUAUACCUGGGGAGACUUGCCUAGGCACUUCAUAGAAUCAUAGAAUAUCAGGGUUGGAAGGGACCUCAGGAGGUCAUCUAGUCCAACCCCCUGCUCAAAGCAGGACCAAUUCCCAACUAAAUCAUCCCAGCCAGGGCUUUGUCAAGCCGGGCCUUAAAAACCUCCAAGGAAGGAGACUCCACCACCUCCCUAGGCUUCGGAGAGCUGCCAAUCUCGCACCAACAGGUCCAGACCCUGCAACAGAGAGCGCAGGAGGAGGGUCACACUGGGGCUGGGAGCACAGAGAGGAGACCAGAGCUGGAGGCUGCUGCCGAACCCCGCCACCGACAUCGAGAUCCUGGGCAUGACGUGAGCGUGGAGGUAGAAUAAUGGGAGCAGGGACUGGCUGUUUGUUCGGGGUUUGACCAGCACCUGGCACAAUGGGGUUCUGGUCUAGGAAGGGGGGGUCUGAGGUGCUCUGGCAAUAGAGACAAUGAAUAAUAAGAAUCAGGUGGGGGUGAUGGGAGUGGGGGGUGGAACCAGCAUUGGGUUGAUGGGAAACGAGGACUCACCUGGAUUGGGGGCAGACUGCAGGUCUCUCCGACCUCCUUCGCAACAUGAACGAACAUCUGCGAUGCAGCGAGAGAGAGACAAGGAAUUUUUUUUCCAUCUUGAACAAAAGAUCCCCCCACAGGUGACAAAGACGGAAAACUGAAGAUUGAAACCUGAGAAACAAUGAUAGCUCCCUAAAAAUGUGAAGAGAGACACCCAAGAGAUACUAACAUUUGGCUGUUCUUUGAAAAUGGAAAUUUUCAUGAAAAGAUUCUGAUUUUGUCAGUUUUCCAUUUUUCAGCAAAACUUUUAUUUUCCAUUUCUCCACACUGUCACUAUGAAAUAAUCUGACAGCUAAUGGUGGGUACUAAAUAACCAACAGCUGGCAGCCAAUAGUGACUAACAAGUAACCAAUAAUUGGCAGCUAUUAAUGAAGAUAAAAUUACCAAUUAUAGAAGUUAAUCGGCCAAGUGAAGUAAAAGGCCUAACACACAACUCA